AUUGCCUCAGUAACGGCGAGUGAAGCGGCAAGAGCUCAAAUUUGAAAUCUGGCCCCCCCGGGGUCCGAGUUGUAAUUUGGAGAGGAUGCUUCGGGCGCCGUUCCCGUCUAAGUGCCCCUGGAACGGGCUGUCGCAGAGGGUGAGAACCCCGUCUGGGACGGGCGACGGCGCCCGUGUGAAGCUCCUUCGACGAGUCGAGUUGUUUGGGAAUGCAGCUCUAAGCGGGUGGUAAAUUUCAUCUAAAGCUAAAUACUGGCCGGAGACCGAUAGCGCACAAGUAGAGUGAUCGAAAGAUGAAAAGCACUUUGAAAAGAGAGUCAAACAGCACGUGAAAUUGUUGAAAGGGAAGCGUUGGCCCCCAGACGCGCCCGGGAGGGCUCAGCCGGCACGUGUGCCGGUGUACUCUCUCCCGGGCGGGCCAGCAUCGGUUUGGGCGGUCGCUGAAAGGCCCCGGGAAUGUAGCACCCUCCGGGGUGCCUUAUAGCCCGGGGCGGCAUGCGGCCCGCCGGGACCGAGGCCCGCGCUUCGGCGAGGAUGCUGGCGUAAUGGCGGUCAACGGCCCGUCUUGAAACACGGACCAAGGAGUCUAACAUCUAUGCGAGUGUUCGGGUGUCAAACCCGUCCGCGCAGUGAAAGCGAACGCCGGUGGGAACCCCUCUGGGGCGCACCAUCGACCGAUCCUGAUGUCCUCGGAUGGAUUUGAGUAAGAGCAUAGCUGUUGGGACCCGAAAGAUGGUGAACUAUGCCUGAAUAGGGCGAAGCCAGAGGAAACUCUGGUGGAGGCUCGCAGCGGUUCUGACGUGCAAAUCGAUCGUCAAAUUUGGGUAUAGGGGGCGAAAGACUAAUCGAACCAUCUGGUAGCUGGUUCCUGCCGAA
rnacentral:rRNA from 1 species